UACGUAGGGGGCAAGCGUUGUCCGGAAUCAUUGGGCGUAAAGCGCGUGUAGGCGGUUCGGUAAGUCUGCUGUGAAAGUCCAGGGCUCAACCCUGGGAUGCCGGUGGAUACUGUCGGACUAGAGUACGGAAGAGGCGAGUGGAAUUCCCGGUGUAGCGGUGAAAUGCGCAGAUAUCAGGAGGAACACCGGUGGCGAAGGCGGUUCUCUGGGCAUGUCCUGACGCUGAGGAGCGAAAGUGUGGGGAGCGAACAGG
rnacentral:rRNA from 1 species